CCACUUGAUGAUGAGGAAGUAGUCAGCCACAUCCUCACCGGACUUGAUGCCGACUACAAUCCAGUGGUGUGAGCCAUCCUCGCGCGUCCUGAACCAAUCACGGUGGGAGAGCUGUACACACAGCUUCUCACCUUCGAGC